GCAUGUGAGCUCCUACUGCCGC
rnacentral:miRNA from 1 species